UAUAAAGUGCCUGAUAAAAGGGUUACUUUGAUAGAGUAAACUAUGUGGCCUUCACCUUUAUUA
rnacentral:tRNA from 2 species